rnacentral:rRNA from 1 species
AGAUUUCCGGGGCUAAAACUUACUACCGAAGCUCCGGGAUCAGUAAUGAUGGGUAGGGGAGCUUCCCAUACGGGUUGAAGCAUGACCGUAAGGACAUGUGGACAGUAGGGGAGUGAGAAUGUUGGCAUGAGUAGCGAGAUGUGGGUGAGAAUCCCACAGGCCGUAAACCCAAGGUUUCCAGGGGAAGGUUCGUCCGCCCUGGGUUAGUCGGGACCUAAGCUGAGGCCGAAAGGCG